rnacentral:lncRNA from 1 species
GGCCAUUUAUACGGAACAAAAUAAGACGCGACUUACAUAAGACGCGACUUAAGUAAGACGCGAGUUUGUGGUAUAAAAGGUACAAAAUUCUUAUGUAAGACGCGUCUUGUAUAAGACGCGUCUUACAUAAGAACAGGUCUUUUAGCUGUUCUUAUUUAAGUCGCGUCUUAAAUAAGAAAUUUUGGACAAAAAGUCUAACUACACAUGCCAGAAACUUGAAACAACGUAAAAUUUAAUGCCUUGCAUAUUAAAAUAAAAACAACCAAUACAACAACAUAGCUAUAGCAAAUAAAUAAGACCAAAGCCGUAGAGAACCAUUUAUGCGAUAACUCCACUUAUUUAAGUCGCGUCUUAUGUAAGUCGCGACUUAUUUUGUCACGUAUAAAUGGCC